GACGAACGCUGGCGGCGUGCUUAACACAUGCAAGUCGAACGGAAAGGCCCUGCUUUUGUGGGGUGCUCGAGUGGCGAACGGGUGAGUAACACGUGAGUAACCUGCCCUUGACUUUGGGAUAACUUCAGGAAACUGGGGCUAAUACCGGAUAGGAGCUCCUGCUGCAUGGUGGGGGUUGGAAAGUUUCGGCGGUUGGGGAUGGACUCGCGGCUUAUCAGCUUGUUGGUGGGGUAGUGGCUUACCAAGGCUUUGACGGGUAGCCGGCCUGAGAGGGUGACCGGCCACAUUGGGACUGAGAUACGGCCCAGACUCCUACGGGAGGCAGCAGUGGGGAAUAUUGCACAAUGGGCGGAAGCCUGAUGCAGCAACGCCGCGUGCGGGAUGACGGCCUACGGGUUGUAAACCGCUUUCGCCUGUGACGAAGCGUGAGUGACGGGAAUGGGUAAAGAAGCACCGGCUAACUACGU
rnacentral:rRNA from 1 species